CUUCAACGACCCGAGCCACAGCGGCUGUUCGCGGUCCUGGCCGUAGGCGGCGAGGAGUGCCUGCGCCUC
rnacentral:antisense_RNA from 1 species